CCGUAGCCCACGCUUCCUGGAACGGUGCGUGGGUAAUAGCUCCGGCGGCCUAGGAUAGCUCUGCGGCCUAUCAGGUUGUAGCGAGGGUAACGUCCUCGCUAGCCUACGACGGGUAUGGGUGUUGGGAGACAUCGCCCAGAGAUGGAUUCUGAGACACGAAUCCAGGCCCUACGGGGCGCAGCAGGCGCGAAAACUGCACAAUGUGGGAAACCACGAUGCGGGAAGCCCAAGUGCCAGCGCUAUGCGUUGGCUGUCCUCAACCGUUCAUUGGUUGGGAAGAAAGUGCUGGGUAAGACGGGUGCCAGCCGCCGCGGUAAUACCCGCAGCACAAGUGGUGGUCAUUAUUAUUGGGCCUAAAGCGUCCGUAGCAUGUUUGUUAGAUGCCUGGGUAAAUCGAUGCGCUUAACGCAUCGAAUUCCGGGUAGACCGGCAAACUCGAGACCGGGAGAGGUGUAGGCUACUCGAGGGGUAGGGGCAAAAUCCUGUAAUCCUUCGGGGAGGACCAGUGGCGAAGGCGCUACACUAGAACGGCUCUGACUGUGAGGGACGAAGCCCUGGGGCGCAAACCGGAUAGAUACCCCGGGUAGUCCAGGUGUAACG
rnacentral:rRNA from 1 species